rnacentral:lncRNA from 1 species
GUUGUUUCUAAUUGAGUUAGUAAGAUUUUAAUCUUCUGCACUAUUUGUGUUUAUUUUCUUGUUAGUUUGCUCGGAAUCAUGCACUACAUUUAGAUCUACCUACAAUUCCGUUUUUCACCAUUUUGGCAAUUUCAUCCAAUAUUUAAAGCAGUUUCAGUUUUCUCCCUCUCUUAUGAUAUAUUGUUUAUAUUGUGAUUAUAU